rnacentral:rRNA from 1 species
GAUGAACGCUGGCGGCGUGCUUAAUACAUGCAAGUCGAACGGAAAGGCGCGGCGCUUGCGGGGCUCUCGAUUGCCGAAGGGGUGAGUAACACGUGAGUAACCUGCCCUUGUCUGUGGGAUAACUUCAGGGAACUGGGGCGAAUACCGGGUAGGAUCUCCUGCUGCGUGUUGGUGGUUGGAAAGUGUCGGCGGUUGGGGAUGGACUCGCUGCUUAUGCGCUUGUUUGUGGGGUAGUGGCUUACCAAGGCUUUGACGGGUAGCCGGCCUGGGAGGGUGACCGGCCACAUUGGGACUGAGAUACGGACCAGACUCCUACGGGAGGCAGCAGUGGGGAAUAUUGCACAAUGGGCGGAAGCCUGAUGCAGCAACGCCGCGUGCGGGAUGACGGCCUUCGGGUUGUAAACCGCUUUCGCCUGUGACGAAGCGUGCGUGACGGUAAUGGGUAAAGAAGCACCGGCUAACUACGUG